rnacentral:lncRNA from 1 species
CUUUGUUUACAAAAUAUAUGGUUUAUUUUAUUUUAUUUAUUUAUUUUUUUUUGUCAACCUUUCAGCUUUGCUAGAAAUGCUGGGCAACAGGAAAGAAUUGAGUUCAUGACUCAUCAGCUUAUUAGACCACACGUCUCAGUGACUAUACAUGCUGCCGUCAGUCUCCGUUUUAUGGUGGUGAUAAAGGAAGGAUUCAGCUUAAUGGGAAGAUUUGCCCAACCCAAACCCUGCAGUAUCCAGCCUACCUCAAGCAGCUGGAAAUCACUUUUCACAGGAGUACUUUGGCACAUCCCCAUGAAAAAGGGAAUAUUUGUGCAAAGGUAAGUGAUUUUCUUACUGACCCCAUCUCAAAUCAAGAACCUCUUAUUAUCCACUGCAUGAUGUUGCUUCCACAAAGGAAGUAGGUAUAUUAAAUCAAUUGAAAACCAGUCAAAUUUAGAAAAAAAAAACUGUAUAAAUAUGUAGCAUUAUUCUGCCAAUUCUUUAAUCAUGCUUAUAUAGAAUCAUUAUAGAUAACUCUCCUCUGGGGUGCCUGGGUGGCCCAGUUCGUUAAGCAUCCGACUUCAGCUCAGGUCAUGAUCUCACCGUUUGCGAGUUCGAGCCCUGCAUCGGGCUCUGUGCUGACAGUUCAGAGCCUGGAGCCUGCUUCAGCUUCUGUGUCUCCCUCUCUCUCUGCCCCUCCCCAGCUCGCACUCUGUCCCUCUGUCUCUCAAAAAUAAAUAAACAUUAAAAACAAAGAACUCUCCUCUA